rnacentral:rRNA from 1 species
AUUGAACGCUGGCGGCAGGCCUAACACAUGCAAGUCGAACGAGUGGCGGACGGGUGAGUAAUGUCUGGGAAACUGCCCGAUGGAGGGGGAUAACUACUGGAAACGGUAGCUAAUACCGCAUACCAUCGGAUGUGCCCAGAUGGGAUUAGCUAGUUGGUGGGGUAACGGCUCACCUAGGCGACGAUCCCUAGCUGGUCUGAGAGGAUGACCAGCCACACUGGGACUGAGACACGGCCCAGACUCCGACGGGAGGCAGCAGUGGGGAAUAUUGCACAAUGGGGGCAAGCCUGAUGCAGCCAUGCCGCGUGAAUGAAGAAGGCCUUCGGGUUGUAAAGUACUUUCGGCGGGGAGGCGUUACCCGCAGAAGAAGCACCGGCUAACUACGUGCCAGCAGCCGCGGUAAUAC